AGUGUGUGAGUGGCAACUUAUACGCGUAAUGAAAGUGAGGCCGUAUGGCCAUGUUGGGGUCACCAACAACCGACCUUGAUCUUCGGUGAAAGGUUUGAGUAUGAGCAUAUCCGUUAGGACCCGAAAGAUGGUGAACUAUGCCUGAGCAGGGUGAAGCCAGGGGAAACUCUGGUGGAGGCUCGUAGCGAUACUGACGUGCAAAUCGUUCGUCAGACUUGGGUAUAGGGGCGAAAGACUAAUCGAACCAUCUAGUAGCUGGUUCCCUCCGAAGUUUCCCUCAGGAUAGCUAGAGUCUUUAUCAGUUUUGUCAGGUAAAGCGAAUGAUUAGAGGUUCCGGGGAAGUAACUUCCUCGACCUAUUCUCAAACUUUAAAUGGGCAAGAUCCAGUAGUUACUUAAUUGAACUAUUGGGGUCAAUGAGACGACUCUAAGUGGGCCAUUUUUGGUAAGCAGAACUGGCGAUGAGGGAUGAACCUAACGCUCGGUUAAGGUGCUAAACUGCUCGCUCAUCAGAUACCACAAAGGGUGUUGGUCGAUCUUAACAGCAGGACGGUGGUCAUGGAAGUCGAAAUCCGCUAAGGAGUGUGUAACAACUCACCUGCCGAAUCGACUAGCCCCGAAAAUGGAUAGCGCUGAAGCGAGUGACCGAUACCGGGCCAUUGUUGCAAGAUAAUUGGCAACAAUGAGUAGGAGGGCGUGGGGGUUGUGAAGAAGCUUGGACGUGAGUCUGAGUGAAACAGCUUCCAGUGCAGAUCUUGGUGGUAGUAGCAAGUAUUCAAUAAGAGAACAUUGAAGGCCGAAGUGGGGAAGGGUUCCAUGUGAACAGCACUUGGACAUGGGUUAGCCGAUCCUGAGAGACAGUUAAAUUCCAUCGGAUGGAGCUUUGGCUCUGUUCUCGAAAGGGAGCUGGUUAGUAUUCCAGCGCCGAGACGUGGAUAUAUGUGGCACACAGUGACUCGACACCCAUAGGGACCCAGGAGCGUUGUCUUUCUUUUACAGUC
rnacentral:ncRNA from 1 species